GUAGCAAUACGGAGUGGCAGACGGGUGAGUAACACGUGGGAACGUGCCCUUUGGUUCGGAACAACACAGGGAAACUUGUGCUAAUACCGAAUAAGCCCUUACGGGGAAAGAUUUAUCGCCAAAGGAUCGGCCCGCGUCUGAUUAGCUAGUUGGUGAGGUAACGGCUCACCAAGGCUACGAUCAGUAGCUGGUCUGAGAGGAUGAUCAGCCACACUGGGACUGAGACACGGCCCAGACUCCUACGGGAGGCAGCAGUUAGGAAUCUUGGACAAUGGGCGCAAGCCUGAUCCAGCCAUGCCGCGUGAGUGAUGAAGGCCUUAGGG
rnacentral:rRNA from 1 species